GGCCGGUUAGCUCAGUUGGUUAGAGUGUGGUGGUAAUAACUCCAAGGUCACGGGUUCAAUCCCCGUAUGUGUCA